rnacentral:misc_RNA from 1 species
GAUGAAGAACGUAGCGAAAUGCGAUAAGUAAUGUGAAUUGCAGAAUUCAGUGAAUCAUCGAAUCUUUGAACGCACAUUGCGCCCGCCAGUAUUCUGGCGGGCAUGCCUGUUCGAGCGUCAUUUCAGCCAUCAAGCCCCCGGCUUGUGUUGGGGACCUGCGGCUGCCGCAGGCCCUGAAAACCAGUGGCGGGCUCGCUAGUCACUCCGAGCGUAGUAAUACAUCUCGCUCAGGGCGUGCUGCGGGUUCCGGCCGUUAAAAGCCUUAUUUUACCCAAGGUUGACCUCGGAUCAGGUAGGAAGACCCGCUGAACUUAAGCAUAUCAAUAAGCGGAGGA